CAGGCCUAACACAUGCAAGUCGAACGGGCACCUUCGGCUGUCAGUGGCAGACGGGUGAGUAACACGUGGGAACGUACCCUUCGGUUCGGAAUAACUCAGGGAAACUUGAGCUAAUACCGGAUACGCCCUUACGGGGAAAGGUUUACUGCCGAAGGAUCGGCCCGCGUCUGAUUAGCUAGUUGGUGAGGUAACGGCUCACCAAGGCGACGAUCAGUAGCUGGUCUGAGAGGAUGAUCAGCCACAUUGGGACUGAGACACGGCCCAAACUCCUACGGGAGGCAGCAGUGGGGAAUAUUGGACAAUGGGCGCAAGCCUGAUCCAGCCAUGCCGCGUGAGUGAUGACGGCCCUAGGGUUGUAAAGCUCUUUUACCUGGGAAGAUAAUGACGGUACCAGGAGAAUAAGCCCCGGCUAACUUCGUGCCAGCAGCCGCGGUAAU
rnacentral:rRNA from 1 species